GCAGGAACUGUUGUUGACAACAACAUCUGCUAUCCUAAGAACAAUGAUUUCUACAUCUGUUCCCAUGCCGGAAUGAUAGGAACAACUAGGCCAACACAUUAUCAUGUUCUGCUUGAUGAGAUUGGUUUCUCAGCUCACGAUUUGCAAGAUUUGGUUAAUUCUUUAUCCUAUGUGUAAGUGUCGUUAUGCAGUGCAAAAUUCUCUAGUGGUAAGUUACUUGUUUAUAUUUCUUCUCAUAGUUCCUGAAGUUUGAAUACUAUAUUAUUUCCUGCACAACUAACAAAGAAGCACAACAACUAUUUCUGUGGUUGAGUGUUUGAGUUCUUCUUAAUUUAUUUGGUCUCUUAGACAAUUAGUCAUAUGUCAAAAAAUGAGUUUGUGUUAAUGCUGCUAUUUGUGUAAUGCAGUUUCUCACUUUCUCCUGUAUGCCAUGCUCAUCUAGCAGCGAAUCAUAUUGGUUAGUUUAUGAAGUUUGAUGACCUCUCUAAUACUUCUUCGAGCCAAGGUGGUGUCACUUCUUCGAGCCAACUUGACUAAAGUAGCACAAUAUUGAAUUGAAUUGCCAGCCAAUUUAUUGUCUUCAUCGAAUGUACCAUGAAAAUAAAAUCAAAUGACACAAAUGCAUCACCAACACGAUCAACUUUUGCACGAUCAUUUGAUUAGGGGGAUUUUCGAAAAUCAUAUCUAGUAUCUCAAAUAUAGCCGCAUGUAGGACAAUUAUAUUCAACAGUAACUUAUGAUGAGACCCCCAACGAGUAUUACCCAGUCUUCCUAAUCCAAGUUGUUGAUUUAAACUUUUCCCACUUUCAAUUUCACCAUCUUCAAAUUCUUUUGCAACUAAUUGAGUUUGAGAUUCAUUAAAUAUUUCUUUGACGCUUACAAGAGCCUCCAACAACAUUCAACGUAGUAGAGAGAAGUUCAAAUAAUCAACCACAAUCAACAUUCUUUUUGGAAAUUGCAACAAGUGUUAGCUGGAGUUGAUGUGCAAAACAAUGAAUGUAAUAUGCAGAUUUUGUUUCAUUUAUAAUCAAAGUUUUUAUACCAUUAGAGUAUCCCUUCAUAUUUCUAGCCCCAUCAUAACCUUUCCCUCUAAUUUUAGUUGGGCUUAUUCCAUACUCAACAAGU